GACCAAGCCUGGGUGCACACUGGGGGUCGGCAGCGUGAAAGCAAAGAGGAGCAGGACAUUUGCUUGUAAAGGGAAGACUGGAGAAACCCUUGGAGAUGAGGGCAGGGUGAAACAGAGGACAGGGAGAUCCAGUCCCUGUGGUCAUGCUGACGCUCCCACGUCCAAGCUCUGUGACAAGUUCUCUAAUCUCUAGGCCUGGGCUCCUUCCUUUGAAAAAAGAUGAGAAUCUCUGUCUGACGGAUGAGAAUCUGAGGCUCAGAGAAGUAAAGGGACUUGCUCAGCUUCACACAGUUAGCAAAUGUUGGGGCUGGUAUAAGUAAACAGUCUGACUUUAAGGAUUGUGCCACAAACAAAGCAAUGGCAGUGACAAAAUGCUAGUCUGGAAAACACAAUGGAAGGGAAUCAGUCUGGGAAGAAGCCUGAACUUGAAAGUGACAUCCAGCCUCGGCUCUGCUGUGAAAUGUGCCCCAUUCUCUUUUAAAGCUGGGACACCAGAGGCAGGACUGGUUGCUAAAGAAGAUGGUGCCAUCUGGCUUUGCCAAGUUCUGGUUUCCAGAAAAUCACAUUUCAGAUCAACUGCUGUGUCCAGUCCUCAUUCAUGCACCUCCCACCCUCUGUCCUUGUACUUUUUCUCCCAAAAGAAGUUCUCAGAUUAGAACAAAAGGACAAAGAUGCUAAAUUCUUUGUUGUUCAAUUUAAGAUCUAUGGCAAAGGUUAAGAUCAAGAAAUUUGGUCCAUUUGGUUCCACCAGCAGGGAGACACGUGGGCAGAAGCAGAGUCUGCAGAGGGAGAAUGCUUGGUCUUUGGGAGCAAAUACCCCAUGGCUGCCGGUGCUGGGAAGCAGCACAAAGCCAUGUAAGGACUUCCUGGGAUAGUCUUUUUGUUUGAGAAAGUGGUGUGCAUCACUUUGAAGACAAGUGAUUCUUCUCAUUGUGGUGUGCUGAGGACGGUCUGCUCACAAUACCUAGGACAUUGCCCAUUGUCUUCCAACGUGUCAACCCCCCCAGUCUGUCCAUCCCAUGGAGACAGCCUUCUCCAUGCAUUUUCAACGGUUCGGAGUGCUUGUGAGCCCCGUGAGUCUAGUGUGGGGCCCUGGACGCAGAAGGACGACCACUGCCGGGGCCAAAUCGGACUAGACAGGAGCAGCUUGAGCUCUCUAGGAGCCCAGAUGCGGGUGGACACACCUCCCACCAUCAGCCUGGCUGUACCUCCUCCUCUUGUCUCGCUCUUUCUGCACCGAUACUGUAUGUGUCCCUGCAAACGUCUUUGAUCCCAUAUACUCUCUGGACAUACCUCUGUCACAGCACCGUUUACUUCAUGUGCUUUCUUCCCCAACAGGCUGUGAGCUACUUCAGAGAAUUGUCUGUGUCUUACUUCAUAUUGUAUCUGUAGAACUCACUGGAAUAUGGAAGGUACUAAAAAAAACCUGUGUAGAAUGAAUGAAUAAACUCUAUAGGGUAGGA